AUCGGCAUUGCUGAUGAGCGCUGGAAAGCUUCUGCCGCUCGCAAUUGCCGCCAUCACCUGAUGCCUUUGACCACGGAUGUACUGGCACUGGUGAAAAGGGUGAUGAUGAGGAAGGUCGGUGCGUUUUCGCCCCGGCCUUUUUUGUU
rnacentral:sRNA from 1 species